rnacentral:rRNA from 1 species
UUCUAGAGAAAGGUAUUUUGGGAGGUCUGAUCUCAGAAGCUAAGCAGGGUUGGGCCUGGUUAGUAUUUGGAUGGGAGACCACCUAGUAAGACCAAGUGCUGUAGGCA